rnacentral:rRNA from 1 species
UCAAGCUACAAAGGGCGCAUGGUGAAUGCCUUGGCAUCAGGAGCCGAUGAAGGACGUGAUAAGCUGCGAUAAGCUUCGGGUAGGCGCACAUAGCCAGAGAUCCGAAGAUUUCCGAAUGAGGAAACUCACAUGGGAAACCCCAUGUAUCCAUAAGUGAAUACAUAGCUUAUGGAAGGUAAACCCAGGGAACUGAAACAUCUAAGUACCUGGAGGAAGAGAAAGAAAAAUCGAUUUUCUUAGUAGCGGCGAGCGAAAGGGAAAGAGCCCAAACCGGAAAUUUAUUUCCGGGGUUGCGGACAGAACAUUAACGAGAAGUUAUGGAUAAUUGAAGAUGACUGGAAAGUCAAGCCAUAGAGUGUAAUAGCCACGUAAGUGAAAUUCAUAAUAAUCAAGUUCUGAUCCAGAGUACCACGAGACACGUGAAACCUUGUGGGAAGCAGGGAGGACCACCUCCCAAGGCUAAAUACUACCUGAUGACCGAUAGUGAAGCAGUACCGUGAGGGAAAGGUGAAAAGAACCCCGGGAGGGGAGUGAAAUAGAACCUGAAACCAUGUGCCUACAACCGGUCAGAGCCCCUUAUGAGGGUGAUGACGUGCUUUUUGUAGAACGAGCCAACGAGUUACGGUAUGUAGCAAGGUUAAGUACUUAAGGUACGGAGCCGAAGGGAAACCGAGUCUUAAUAGGGCGACUAGUUGCAUGCCGUAGACCCGAAACCGGGUGACCUAUCCAUGGCCAGGUUGAAGCGAGGGUAAAACCUCGUGGAGGACCGAACCACGUUGCUGUUGAAAAAGCAUGGGAUGAGCUGUGGAUAGCGGAGAAAUUCCAAUCGAACUCGGAGAUAGCUGGUUCUCCUCGAAAUAGCUUUAGGGCUAGCGUCGGAUAUGAGUAGUGGAGGUAGAGCACUGAAUGGGCUAGGGGGCAUAGCGCUUACCGAACCUUAUCAAACUCCGAAUGCCACAUACUAUUAGUCCGGCAGUCAGACUGCGAAAGAUAAGUUCCGUAGUCAAAAGGGAAACAGCCCAGAUCGUCAGCUAAGGUCCCAAAGUGUAAGUUAAGUGGAAAAGGAUGUGGGAUUUCUAAGACAACUAGGAUGUUGGCUUAGAAGCAGCCACUCAUUUAAAGAGUGCGUAAUAGCUCACUAGUCGAGAGAUCCUGCGCCGAAAAUGUCCGGGGCUAAAACUUACCACCGAAGCUACGGGCUUGCGUAAGCAAGCGGUAGGGGAGCGUCGUAAUCGGGCUGAAGUCGUACCGUAAGGAGCGGUGGACUGAUUACGAGUGAGAAUGUUGGCAUUAGUAGCGAGAUGUAGGUGAGAAUCCUACAGGCCGAAUAUCUAAGGUUUCCUCAGGAAGGCUCGUCCGCUGAGGGUUAGUCGGGACCUAAGCCGAGGCCGAAAGGCGUAGGCGAUGGACAAUCGGUUGAUAUUCCGAUACCACUACUGAUCGUUAUUAUCGAUGGUGUGACGGAGAAGGAUAGAGUGUGCUAGCUAUUGGAUGCUAGUCUAAGCGUUUAGGGAGUUAGGAAAGGCAAAUCCGUCCUAACAAUUCUGAGGCGUGAUGGGGAAGGUUCUACGGAACCGAAGUACUUGAUUCCAUGCUUCCAAGAAAAGCAUCUAGAGAGAGAUGUAGUGCCCGUACCGCAAACCGACACAGGUAGAUGAGGAGAGAAUCCUAAGGCCGGCGGAAGAAUCACAGUUAAGGAACUAGGCAAAUUGACCCCGUAACUUAGGGAGAAGGGGUGCCUGCGAGAGCAGGCCGCAGAGAAUAGGCCCAAGCAACUGUUUAGCAAAAACACAGGUCUCUGCUAAAGCGAAAGCUGAUGUAUAGGGGCUGACGCCUGCCCGGUGCUGGAAGGUUAAGGGGAACACUUAGCGCAAGCGAAGGUGUGAACUUAAGCCCCAGUAAACGGCGGCCGUAACUAUAACGGUCCUAAGGUAGCGAAAUUCCUUGUCAGGUAAGUUCUGACCCGCACGAAUGGCGUAAUGACUUGGGCACUGUCUCAACUGUGAAUCCGGCGAAGUUGUAGUGCGAGUGAAGAUGCUCGCUACCCGCGAUUGGACGGAAAGACCCCGUAGAGCUUUACUG